CUCGGUGAAGAGCGUAGCUUACAACGCGACCCCAGGUCAGGCGGGGCUACCCGCUGAAUUUAAGCAUAUCAAUAAGCGGAGG
rnacentral:rRNA from 1 species